AUUUUGUUUAGUCUCUAAGGUGCCAUGGGACCUCUCUUUGAUUUUCAAGUUACAGACUAACACAGCAACCCCUCUGAUAUUAUCCAAACUUUGAAUUCCCUUGCUUUAGUCAUUUUGCCACUACAACAUCUUAAAAUAGAAUUUGCACUGAUAUCACCAUGGGGAAACUGUCAUACCGACACUAGAAUCUGCUCAUAGAUAUUUCAGUCUUGUUGCUUGAGGCCCUGGACAGCACACACUCAAAAGCAUUGAGAGCAACACAACAAAUAUGCCACCAGUAUAUUCAGUCAUGGUCUGGCAGGAUCCACUGUAAAAUGUGAGGAUAACUGAGUCUGUCCCCCAGUCUGACUUUGGCCCUUCUGCUGAGAGUGCUAGUUAUCAUGGUGUGGUAUGUGUCUGUGUGUUGUGGCCCAUUGAUUUGUUUUUGUAACCAGGCAGAUAUGUCUACUGAGAACUGGAAUGAAAUCUAACAAUUCAUUUCACAAAGGUCACCAGAUGGUAAUUAUUUCCAGCCAUUACCUGCCUGGGCUGGAUUUGUCCAGGCACCAGUAGGUGAGACUAAGUAACCCAUUUACAAUUAUCUCAGCCACUUGGCCUCCCUCCCUGAAAUGUGGGCAAAAGAGGUCCUUCUGAUGUCGAAUACUUUCAAUAGCUAUUGUGCACAAAACUCCAAUUUAAAAAAUUGCUAAUAUUCCUCAUAUCUCUUUCCAGGCUAAAGUAGCUAAUAUCUAUGAGUCACCUGGCUUCUUUCUGGGGCUGGAGCCAAUUCCAGGAGCCAUUGAAGCCAUGAAGGAAAUGAUCCAUAUGCUGGAGUAAGGACACUAAAGUACAACUGCUUUUUUCUAUUAUCUAUGUUUCUGACAUCUACUAAUCAAGGCUGAUUUUUUUUUAAAGCACUGAUGUUUUUAUCUGCACAACUCCCCUACUGAAGUAUGAGCACUGCAUCUUAGAGAAGGCCUGGCAUAGGAGGAAUGGAGGAGGUAAAAGAACGGAUGCAAUAGAAUCAAGUAGAAGCCACUGCAUACUCCAGAGGCAAGUAUGGAGGGGUCUGAUGCACUGCAUUGCAUGCUGGAGGCUCCUCUGAGAAAAUCUUGACUAAAUCAAGAGAUCAGUGCCAGGCAGAAAUGUAGCGAGAGAGGGGAUAAUCAUGUACUUUGGGGUUAAAUAAUAAAGGGCCUAGUAUAUUCCAUAGGCUGACUUUCCUCUCAGGUUGCUUUACACAAGUGUAACUGCAUGGACUACACUGCUGGUUUUGUCUUACAGUAAGGUAAGAGAGGAGAUUGAGGCCCUAAAUGUUUGAAUAGUACUAACAAAUUGGGCACUGUCUGGGGGCUCCUGGCAGGCAGACAGGGCAGCUCUCAGCUUUGACAUGGUUUAGGUACAUAGUGCAGGGACGAGCGAAGGGCCCUGAAAGUACAGUUCACAAUAGUCCUUUCAGUGUCCAGGACAACGGCCCAAUUGCAGGGUUCAUAACGCUCCUAGGAGAGAUGUGGGCCUGCAGCAUGAGAUCACAGCGCUAGGAGUAGUCAGACUUGCUGCUAAGUACAAUUCGUCUAAUGCUCUUCUUCCUCUCCUCACAGUACCACUGGGUGGAAAAACAUCUGGGUCCUAAGUUUGUGGAGCGGCUGAUUCUGACCAGAGAUAAAACAGUUGUAUCAGCUGACCUGCUGUUUGAUGAUAAAGAGACCAUUCAAGGUGCGGAGCCUAAGCCGAGCUGGGAGCACAUCUUGUUCACUUGCUGCCAUAACAAGCACCUAGAGCUUCAGCCACCACGUAGGCGGCUGCAGUCGUGGGCCGAUGACUGGAGGGGGAUAGUGGAAAGUAAACGCAGAAGUAAGGCAGGAAAAGAAUGCUGUGCUAGUCUCAUUGCCAAUGGAGGCAGCCAAAUUGGGAACUGGCAACGAAACCCCC